UUUUGUGAAAGGCAAACUUAUUGAAAAAUAAGGACGCAAAGUUACAGGUCUAAGGCCAUGAUGCUAGGACGGCUGUGCUACCGCU
rnacentral:ncRNA from 1 species